UACGGAGGGUGCAAACGUUGCUCGGAAUUAUUGGGCGUAAAGCGCACGUAGGCGGUCCAGCAAGUCGGGUGUGAAAGCCCUCGGCUUAACCGAGGAAGUGCAGUUCGAAACUACUGGACUUGAAUACUGAAGAGGAUCGCGGAAUUCCUGGUGUAGGCGGUAGAAAUGCGCAGAUAUCAGGAGGAACACCGAUGGCGAAGGCAGGUCUCUGGGCCGAUACUGACGCUGAGGAGCGAAAGCGUGGGGAGCGAACAGG
rnacentral:rRNA from 1 species